CCCGACGACAAGAGUGCUGUGGUCCUACCUGACCCCAUACCGAACUCAGAAGUAAAACGCAGUAACGUCGAUGGUAGUGUGGUGAUUCGCCAUGUGAGAGUAGAUCGCCAUGUGAG
rnacentral:rRNA from 1 species